rnacentral:rRNA from 1 species
CAUGUCCUUUUGAUUAUAAUUAAAGGUUUAAUCUGCUCAAUGAUUAUUUAAAUAGCCGCGAUAUUUUGAUCGUGCGAAGGUAGCAUAAUCAUUAGUUUCUUAAUUGGGAGCUGGAAUGAAUGAUUGGACGAGACAAAAUCUGUCUCUAAUUAAAUAUUAGAAAUUUAUUUUUAAGUAAAAAAGCUUAAAUAAUUUAAAAAGACGAGAAGACCCUAUAGAGUUUUAUGAUUAAAAAAUUAAUAAUUUUAAGAAUUAAUAAUUUUUAAUUUUAAAUUCAUUUAGUUGGGGUGACUAAAAAAUUUAUAAAACUUUUUUUUUGUAAAUACAGAUUUGUAUAUAAUUGAUUUAUUUAUUAUAAUUAUAAGAUUAAAUUACCUUAGGGAUAACAGCGUAAUUUUUCUUAAGAGUUCUAAUCGAAAGAAUAAGUUUGCGACCUCGAUGUUGGAUUAAAAUUUAAUUUAGGUGUAGAAGCUUAAAAAUUUAGUCUGUUCGACUAUUAAAAUUUUACAUGAUCUGAGU